rnacentral:lncRNA from 1 species
AGAUCACCAGAUAACUUGUAAGCAACUCACUGUACUUUAGUAUCAGACCAUCUAAGUUUUUAACUCAGUGAUGGAAAGACACUGGAUGCAAUCUAGUACUUAUCAAGUCGGUAUGUAAGUUAAAAUAAAAUUGACCCUUCUGAAUUAGUAGGAGAUAUGCAUCAGUGUAUUUUAAUUUAGUAAAAUCUUAGCUAGGAUAAU